UACGUAGGGUGCAAGCGUUAAUCGGAAUUACUGGGCGUAAAGCGUGCGCAGGCGGUUAUGUAAGACAGUUGUGAAAUCCCCGGGCUCAACCUGGGAACUGCAAUGGAUACUGGCAGGCUGGAGUAUGGUAGAGGAAGGUGGAAUUCCCGGUGUAGCAGUGAAAUGCGUAGAGAUCGGGAGGAACACCAGUGGCGAAGGCGGCCUUCUGGACCAAUACUGACGCUCAUGCACGAAAGCGUGGGGAGCAAACAGG
rnacentral:rRNA from 1 species